GGAUGGUUAGCUCAAUGGUAGAGCAGCUGGCUUUUAACCAGUAGGUUGUCAGUUCAAGUCUGACACCAUCCA
rnacentral:tRNA from 1 species